rnacentral:rRNA from 1 species
AAGGCGUGCGAUACAGGGUGACAGCCCCGUACACAAAAAUGCACAUAUUGUGAGCUCGAUGAGUAGGGCGGGACACGUGGUAUCCUGUCUGAAUAUGGGGGGACCAUCCUCCAAGGCUAAAUACUCCUGACUGACCGAUAGUGAACCAGUACCGUGAGGGAAAGGCGAAAAGAACCCCGGCGAGGGGAGUGAAAAAGAACCUGAAACCGUGUACGUACAAGCAGUGGGAGCCUCUUAAUGGGGUGACUGCGUACCUUUUGUAUAAUGGGUCAGCGACUUAUAUUCUGUAGCAAGGUUAACCGAAUAGGGGAGCCGAAGGGAAACCGAGUCUUAACUGGGCGUUAAGUUGCAGGGUAUAGACCCGAAACCCGGUGAUCUAGCCAUGGGCAGGUUGAAGGUUGGGUAACACUAACUGGAGGACCGAACCGACUAAUGUUGAAAAAUUAGCGGAUGACUUGUGGCUGGGGGUGAAAGGCCAAUCAAACCGGGAGAUAGCUGGUUCUCCCCGAAAGCUAUUUAGGUAGCGCCUCGUGAAUUCAUCUCCGGGGGUAGAGCACUGUUUCGGCAAGGGGGUCAUCCCGACUUACCAACCCGAUGCAAACUGCGAAUACCGGAGAAUGUUAUCACGGGAGACACACGGCGGGUGCUAACGUCCGUCGUGAAGAGGGAAACAACCCAGACCGCCAGCUAAGGUCCCAAAGUCAUGGUUAAGUGGGAAACGAUGUGGGAAGGCCCAGACAGCCAGGAUGUUGGCUUAGAAGCAGCCAUCAUUUAAAGAAAGCGUAAUAGCUCACUGGUCGAGUCGGCCUGCGCGGAAGAUGUAACGGGGCUAAACCAUGCACCGAAGCUGCGGCAGCGACACUAUGUGUUGUUGGGUAGGGGAGCGUUCUGUAAGCCUGUGAAGGUGGCCUGUGAGGGUUGCUGGAGGUAUCAGAAGUGCGAAUGCUGACAUAAGUAACGAUAAAGCGGGUGAAAAGCCCGCUCGCCGGAAGACCAAGGGUUCCUGUCCAACGUUAAUCGGGGCAGGGUGAGUCGACCCCUAAGGCGAGGCCGAAAGGCGUAGUCGAUGGGAAACAGGUUAAUAUUCCUGUACUUGGUGUUACUGCGAAGGGGGGACGGAGAAGGCUAUGUUGGCCGGGCGACGGUUGUCCCGGUUUAAGCGUGUAGGCUGGUUUUCCAGGCAAAUCCGGAAAACCAAGGCUGAGGCGUGAUGACGAAGCACUACGGUGCUGAAGCGACAAAUGCCCUGCUUCCAGGAAAAGCCUCUAAGCAUCAGGUAACAUCAAAUCGUACCCCAAACCGACACAGGUGGUCAGGUAGAGAAUACCAAGGCGCUUGAGAGAACUCGGGUGAAGGAACUAGGCAAAAUGGUGCCGUAACUUCGGGAGAAGGCACGCUGAUAUGUAGGUGAAGCGACUUGCUCGUGGAGCUGAAAUCAGUCGAAGAUACCAGCUGGCUGCAACUGUUUAUUAAAAACACAGCACUGUGCAAACACGAAAGUGGACGUAUACGGUGUGACGCCUGCCCGGUGCCGGAAGGUUAAUUGAUGGGGUUAGCGGUAACGCGAAGCUCUUGAUCGAAGCCCCGGUAAACGGCGGCCGUAACUAUAACGGUCCUAAGGUAGCGAAAUUCCUUGUCGGGUAAGUUCCGACCUGCACGAAUGGCGUAAUGAUGGCCAGGCUGUCUCCACCCGAGACUCAGUGAAAUUGAACUCGCUGUGAAGAUGCAGUGUACCCGCGGCAAGACGGAAAGACCCCGUGAACCUUUACUAUAGCUUGACACUGAACAUUGAGCCUUGAUGUGUAGGAUAGGUGGGAGGCUUUGAAGUGUGGACGCCAGUCUGCAUGGAGCCGACCUUGAAAUACCACCCUUUAAUGUUUGAUGUUCUAACGUUGGCCCGUAAUCCGGGUUGCGGACAGUGUCUGGUGGGUAGUUUGACUGGGGCGGUCUCCUCCUAAAGAGUAACGGAGGAGCACGAAGGUUGGCUAAUCCUGGUCGGACAUCAGGAGGUUAGUGCAAUGGCAUAAGCCAGCUUGACUGCGAGCGUGACGGCGCGAGCAGGUGCGAAAGCAGGUCAUAGUGAUCCGGUGGUUCUGAAUGGAAGGGCCAUCGCUCAACGGAUAAAAGGUACUCCGGGGAUAACAGGCUGAUACCGCCCAAGAGUUCAUAUCGACGGCGGUGUUUGGCACCUCGAUGUCGGCUCAUCACAUCCUGGGGCUGAAGUAGGUCCCAAGGGUAUGGCUGUUCGCCAUUUAAAGUGGUACGCGAGCUGGGUUUAGAACGUCGUGAGACAGUUCGGUCCCUAUCUGCCGUGGGCGCUGGAGAACUGAGGGGGGCUGCUCCUAGUACGAGAGGACCGGAGUGGACGCAUCACUGGUGUUCGGGUUGUCAUGCCAAUGGCACUGCCCGGUAGCUAAAUGCGGAAGAGAUAAGUGCUGAAAGCAUCUAAGCACGAAACUUGCCCCGAGAUGAGUUCUCCCUGAGACUUAGAGUCUCCUGAAGGAACGUUGAAGACGACGACGUUGAUAGGCCGGGUGUGUAAGCGCAGCGAUGCGUUGAGCUAACCGGUACUAAUGAACCGUGAGGCUUAACCUUACAACGCCGAAG